AAAAAAAAAAAAAAAUUGUUUAAAAAAUAUAUAUCAUCCUAUUAUUUUUAUAAAACACUUUGUUACAGUUAUUAUAAUAAUUAUUUAAAUUAUAUAAAAGGAAUAAAAUAUAACAUAUAUAAAAUAAAAUUACCAACUAGUUUUUUAAAUAUGCAUUUUGUUACUAUUGUACAAUAUAUGUAUAUGCAUUACAAUGCAUUUGUUAUUGGUAUCAUAAAUCAGCAUAAUGAAAUAAAAUUGAAUCCAUUAAAUUUUAUUUACAUUUGUGUAGAUACAUGUUUUAUUUUAUUAACAGAUAAAUAUAAUAUAUUGCAGAAAAUUCAAAAUAUAAAAAAAAUUAAACUAGAUUGGGUAAACAAUAUUAAUGAAAUUAGUGUCAAAAAAGUAUACACUAAAAAGGAUACUGCACGUAAAUACUCGAGUACGAGCAAUGAUGGUAGUACUAAUAGAAGUAGCAGUUGUACCGACAGUAGAAGCUGUAACGAUGGUAGCAACGAAGGUAGCAGUAAUAACAGUAGUUACAGUAGUAGCAAUAGUAACAGUAGUAACAGUAGUUACAGUAGUAGCAAUAGUAACAGUAGUAACAGUAGUAACGACAGUAGCAUCUGUAACAAUAUGACCAGUGACAGUGGCAACCGUAAUAGAACUAAUUAUAAUGCUCACCAAGAGCUUAAUAAACUAUUAGAGGAAAAUAGAAACAUAACUUUUAAUCCAGUCUUAAAUAUAUUCAGGGUAGACAACUAUUUACAAGCAAUAAAAAUUUUUAAAUUAAAAAAUAAAACACUUCACAUGAAUUGGGAGAGAGAGAGGCCACUAAGUCAUAACAUGGGUCACCCUCAAAACCUACUACGCCAUAUGACUGAUAAAAAUAUGUUUCUAAAUUUUAAUCAGGUAAAUAAUAAGGAUGAUGGAUCAAAUCACUUUAAUGAAUGUAAUAAAGAAAGAUGUAAAAAAAAAAGUAUAUACCACUGAAGAUGGAGAUGGAGAUAGAGAUGAAGAUGGAGAUGGAGAUAGAGAUGAAGAUGGAGAUGGA
rnacentral:lncRNA from 1 species